UAACCAGGGGGCAAACAUGAAAAUAAAACAGCAACAGCAAUUAUUUUAAAAGAAAUUACAAACCAGAACACAUUGUAUGUACAUUUUAGUACUUUAGAUGAGUAAAUAUUAUUAAAUUAGUCCGAUGAUAGAGACAAAAGCAUUCAUUGGCUCUGGUCAGAGCUGUGACGCACUCGUGCUGUAUUGAGUAUGGACGCUGCUUAGUCUGCUGCUGCCCACCACUGUUACAAAUGUCACCGACUGGCCUAAAAUUAUCAUUAAUGCUCGUUGUUUUUGUUUCUGUCUGACAGAGUGAGGUGAAAGUCAAGAUGACUGAGAGCGGGGAUCUUUGCCCUCACCUGGACUCUAUUGGGGAAGUUACUAAGGAGGAACUGAUUCAGAAGUCAAAGGGUACUUGUCAGUCAUGUGGAGUAGGUGGUCCCAACCUCUGGGCAUGUUUACAGUGUAACUAUGUUGGCUGUGGAGAGUCAUAUUCAGAUCACAGUACUAUACAUGCUCAGGCCAAAAAACACAAUCUGACUGUAAACCUGACCACAUUCAGGGUGUGGUGUUAUGUCUGUGAAAGGGAGGUGUUUCUGGAACCAAAGCCUGUUACGCCUGUAUCAUUAGCUCACGGCUGCAAACAUCUUGAACAGCCAACAUGUCAUCCAUUGAAGGCAGUGCCCAUUGCUGUGGUGGAUGAGGAAGGCUCAGAAUCUGAGGAGGAUGAGCUCAAACCUAGAGGUCUCACAGGGAUGAAGAACAUUGGAAACUCUUGUUACAUGAAUGCUGCGCUGCAGGCCCUGUCUAACUGUCCUCCUUUGACUCAGUUUUUCCUGGAUUGUAGUGGGUUGGUGCGUACAGUUAAGAAGCCAGCGUUGUGUAAAAGCUAUCAAAAACUUAUCUCUGAGCUCUGGCACAAGAAACGACCAAGUUAUGUUGUUCCCACAAGUCUCUUUCAUGGAAUCAAACUGGUGAACCCUAUGUUUCGUGGCUAUGCCCAACAGGACACUCAGGAGUUCUUGCGUUGUCUGAUGGACCAGCUUCAUGAGGAGCUGAAAGAGGCCCUGACCGACUACAACGUUGCGAUCUUAGAUGUUGACCUCGACCACUCACUUGACAGCCAUAACCAUAGCGAUGAAGACCGAAGCCCAUCUGAGGACGAAUUCUUGUCGUGUGACUCUGGAUCAGGAAGUGAGAGAGGGGAUGGAGAGAGGGCUGGAGGAGAGGCAGAGCUGCUGAUUCAAGAUGAGUGUGUGGGAGUGAGGGGGAACGGAGGGAUCUCGGAGAAAGAGAGGCUAAAGGAGAGAAGAGGCGAGGAGAAUACAAGAGAAAUGGAUGAGGAUGCAGAUGUGGACACGACCACACAGGAGGGACAGGCAGAGAGAGAAACAGAGGCAACCACUACAGCCACUACUGUACAGAUACAAGGAAAUACAGAGCCUGAUAAUGAAGCUUCCAUGCACUGUCAAUCUUCUCGUUCCUGUAGCCCUGUCCACAGUGUGCAGGAGCUGCACUCCAGACUCUCCAGUAGUCCACCAAGGUCCAGCCCCCUCAGAGCUGGCCCCACUUACACUUUAAAGAAAGCUCAGAUGCACCUAGGCACCAAGAAGAAGAAGCAGUCCCGUUUCCGCAGUGUUAUUUCCGAUAUCUUUGAUGGAUCCAUUCUGAGUCUCGUUCAGUGUUUGACGUGCGACCGGGUGUCGACAACAGUGGAGACCUUUCAGGACCUGUCCCUGCCUAUUCCGGGUAAAGAAGAUUUGGCGAAACUCCACUCCUCCAUCCACCAGAAUGCUCCUGUUAAAACUGGUGUCUGCACAGAUGGAUAUGCGACCCAGGGCUGGAUCUCCUACAUCAUGGAGUACAUACGAAGGUUUGUGGUCUCCUGUAUCCCCAGCUGGUUUUGGGGCCCCAUGGUAAUCCUGGAGGACUGCUUGGCAGCAUUCUUUGCUGCAGAUGAGUUGAAAGGAGACAACAUGUACAGCUGUGAAAGAUGUAAAAAAUUAAGAAACGGUGUGAAAUAUUGUAAAGUUCUACGUCUACCAGAAAUUUUGUGCAUUCACCUGAAGCGUUUCAGACAUGAAGUCAUGUACUCGUAUAAGAUAAAUAGCCAUGUGUCAUUCCCAUUGGAGGGUUUGGAUCUCAAGCCCUUUUUGGCUAAGGAGAGCCCAUCUCAGAUUACUACCUAUGACCUGCUGUCUGUCAUCUGUCACCACGGCACUGUGGGCAGUGGUCACUACAUAGCAUACUGUCAAAAUGUGAUUAAUGGACAGUGGUACGAGUUUGACGAUCAGUAUGUAACAGAGGUGCACGAGACCGUAGUGCAGAAUGCUGAAGCCUACGUCCUCUUCUACAGGAAGAGCAGUGAAGAGUCAGUGAGGGAGAGACAGAAGGUUGUAGCUCUGGCUAAUUUAAAGGAGCCCAGUCUCCUGCAGUUCUACAUCUCCAGAGAAUGGCUCAAUAAGUUCAACACAUUCACUGAGCCUGGGCCCAUCACCAACCACACUUUCCUCUGUCAACAUGGAGGAAUCCCUCCUACUAAGUACCACUAUGUGGAUGAUCUGGUUGUGAUCCUGCCUCAGAAUGUGUGGGAAUAUCUUUAUAACAGGUUUGGGGGAGGCCCAGCCGUAAAUCACUUAUACUUGUGUGCCAUCUGCCAAGUAGAGAUCGAGACUUUAGCCAAACGGCGGAAACUGGAAAUAGACACCUUCAUCAAGUUAAAUAAGGAGUUUCAGGCUGAGGAAGCUCCUACGGUCAUCCUGUGUAUCAGUAUGCAGUGGUUCAGGGAAUGGGAGAACUUUGUCAAGGGCAAAGAAAACGAGCCUCCAGGACCCAUUGACAACAGCAAGAUUGCAGUAAUGAAAGGCGGACAUAUCCAGCUUAAACAGGGAGCAGACUACGGGCAGAUAUCUGAGGAAACGUGGCAGUACUUGUUAAGUAUUUAUGGUGGUGGGCCAGAGAUUGCUGUGCGCCAAACUAUCAGCCCCCCAGGCACUGACACACAUGGAGAGAGGAAGAUAGAGGCAGAGACCAGAGCUCUCUGAAUUGAUAUUCCAGAGUUCUUGAUGUGUUUGUUUCCUUACCUUUCCAUUGGAAACUGCAGCGGAAUUGUGCUGCAUUAGUGAGGUUUCUCUCUUAUGUCAAACUCCAGGAUUCCCCCAAUGUACUUAAGCACAAAUGCGGACGUGAGGGACAGUACUCGAUAUUUUAGGUGAUGAUGACCCACGUGUUGAUGACCAUUUCACACCACGCUUGCAUUUCUGUCUCAUAAGCACUUUGUGAGCAUUUCUGUGGAUCUAUUAUCUGUGACUGACAGAGCUAUCAUAGUGUAGGAAAGGGUCCUAUUUAUUAAGUGAAAAGUAUAUUAUUAGAAACGUACAACAUGAAACAUAUUUAUUCUAUUCACGUACAAGUUAGGGUGUGCAUUGGUGAUAUGCUUCUUUUGUUUGUCUGUGGAAGUAAGGGCAGUGAUGUAAGCGUAAUUUCUCAGUACAUUACAUCUUUGGUAGUGCAAAUGAAAUAAAGUGAAAUACAUCAUGCACUAUAAGCAGGACACAAGCUGUAUGUCACUCUAAACCUUCAUUAAAGCUCUUUGCUGACUUCUGUGUAGGCAAAAUAAGGCUUGAAAUUGGUAUCUGCAUGUUCAAAGAAGCUUUCUCACUAUUCAUGUUCUUUAGAAGCACUAUCAGAUGGAGAUGCUUUGAAAUUGCAGAAAAGGUAUAUGCUGCUACAUUUCAGAAGUUUGGAAUAGCAACAAGAUAUGGUGUCAUAUGAGGCUUUGCAUUUUCAUGUGCAUAGUAAAGAAUUUCUUGAAUCUAAUGCCUGUUCUAAUGUUAUUUCACUUGUUUUAUCACUGUAACAAUUUUAUGAUGACCCAUUUUUAGAUUUGGAUGUUAAAAGUUAAAGAGGUGUUACUUACAAUCAAUAUUAAAUUCUGUUUUAAAGCAUUUUGAAAUCCUCUGAACUAAAAUGAAUAGCUCUGUCCCAAUCAUAGGAAGUGAAUCCUCAGUGCAACAGGGUUGCGUAAACUGCAAUGUUUCAGAUCAUCAGUAUUAAAUAGUUUUCAGAUCAUUCAACAUUUCAUCAUAUUGUCAGAAACAAAACUGCUUGGAUGCAUAGUGUGUUGCAUCAUUAAAUGCUGAAAUGUUUUAAUGAUUCCCCAUUUGAUGAUUAUAUAACUGGUUGCAUACAACACCACAUCCCCAAGUGAAACAAACUAAACUACUUUUCUAAGGGAAUGUGCAAUGAGGUAGAUCAGGUGUGUUAGGAGUGCUAAAGGAAUAGCAUUAAAAUGUCUGUUUUUGAACAUAUUCUUUGUACAUAAUAACAUGUAACAGUUUUAUUUAUGAAUGUCGUCUUUUCACAUCAACAAAAGGACAAAAUUGUGCAGAAUUGUGAGUUGUGUAUAGGAUAACGUGAUGACUAGGUUUGAACAAUGAAAGGCCUGUUACAUAUUUUGUUGUAGGAACUUAAAAUUCCAAGGUUAUUCUUGGCGGAAUGUCUUUUUCAUUUAAGUGAUUUAAAUCUUCUUAAUUGUUAAGAUGUGUCUGAUUUGAGAAAUUUAAAUAAAGCCUGUUCUUUA